rnacentral:rRNA from 1 species
ACAAUGGGGGGUACGAGAGGGUCGCUACCACGCGAGUGGAUGCCAAUCCCAAAACCUCUCUCAGUUCGGACUGGAGUCUGCAACCCGACUCCACGAAGCUGGAUUCGCUAGUAAUCGCGCAUCAGCCACGGCGCGGUGAAUACGUUCCCGGGCCUUGUACACACCGCCCGUCAAGCCAUGGGAGCCGGGGGUACCUGAAGUGCGUAACCGCGAGGAGCGCCCUAGGGUAAAACUGGUGACUGGGGCUAAGUCGUAACAAGGUAGC